rnacentral:rRNA from 1 species
GAUGAACGCUGGCGGCGUGCCUAAUACAUGCAAGUCGAGCGAAUGGAUUGAGAGCUUGCUCUUAUGAAGUUAGCGGCGGACGGGUGAGUAACACGUGGGUAACCUGCCCAUAAGACUGGGAUAACUCCGGGAAACCGGGGCUAAUACCGGAUAACAUUUUGAACCGCAUGGUUCGAAAUUGAAAGGCGGCUUCGGCUGUCACUUAUGGAUGGACCCGCGUCGCAUUAGCUAGUUGGUGAGGUAACGGCUCACCAAGGCAACGAUGCGUAGCCGACCUGGGAGGGUGCUCGGCCACACUGGGACUGAGACACGGCCCAGACUCCUACGGGAGGCAGCAGUAGGGAAUCUUCCGCAAUGGACGAAAGUCUGACGGAGCAACGCCGCGUGAUUGAUGAAGGCUUUCGGGUCGUAAAACUCUGUUGUUAGGGAAGAACAAGUGCUAGUUGAAUAAGCUGGCACCUUGACGGUACCUAACCAGAAAGCCACGGCUAACUACGUGCCAGCCGCCGCCGUAA